CUUUAAUUUCCAUGUAAUCUAUAUAUAUUAUAAUUUAUAACCAAUUCUAACUAUAUAUCACUGAGGUUCAAUUUGAACAUAUACCUCCAUAAAAUCAUCUAAACUACUAAAUUUCUUUUACUAAUAUACACCUGUCUUUUUGCUAUGCGUCAUCGUUAAUUCCGUAUGCUUCUCUAAUGAAGUUCACCUCCAAGGCUUUAUGUACUAUUUAAUAUACCUUUAUUUAACUUAUACACUCAUUCGUUUCAUAAGAAUACGAAUUUCAGGCUCAGACUGGAAAUGAUGUUUAUAUUUCUGACAAAUUUGUAUAGGAAAUUACACUGUACGAGAAGAAUUGCAUGCAAUGAAAAAUCGCACGCGCGUGUUUGGCGAAAUAGUAGAGAGUUUUAGAUUGACGUUCGUCGUUAUUACGGCAAACCGCGAACCGGUAUAGUCGACGUACCCGUUACAAGUUUGCAGUUCGGAUUUUAAAAACGAUUUAGAUUUAGGCCUAAGGUUUUCAGUAACUUCCAAAAUGUGAACUUAAUCGGUGGGCAAUAGCAUCCCAAUCCAUCGGCUUUUGUGUCCGGCAGCUUGCAACCUCCCUAGCCAAUGCAAGAUCAUGUUGUAUGCUUGGCCAACGAAUUCGAAAGAGUUUUGUGGUCACUGGUCAUGAUGUUUUUCCAAGUUCUGUAUUAGACACAAACAGAUUUUAUGUCAAAUUCGCAACAAAAUUGGCGUAAGAAUAAAACUUUAAAUCUUAAAAUUAUGAGAAAAACUAACAACAAAAACAAUGUAAAUCAGCUAUGCAUUUGGGCUAUGCUUUUGCCUGCAAUUUUGUUUAUUGACAUCGACUGAAUUCGACACAAUAUUUCAGUCGAAGAUAGUAGUUUCAUAUCCUUAUUUUAUGCAAGAAUGAAAGUCAUAGUGAUAAUAAACAUAAGUGCCAUGUUUAUACGCGAGAAAAAGAACAAAAAAAUGCAUGAAAACCUUGAGGGAAACUACCUACCUGAAAACAGCAUCCCUCGCGUAGAAACGUCUACUUCGAACGUGUAAUCUAGUUAAUCUGACUGCAAAAUGGCUGUCACGUGAUUUUUAGCCGUUUGCGGUUAGCGGGAAAUACGAAAAUACGUCAAUCUAAAACUCUCUAAUGAGUUUAAGCUUCACGUUUCCGGGAACGGCAAACAGCAGGUUCGAAGUUUCUUGGAAAAAUUUUCGUUGAACGCUUUCGUUUCACAUUUUCUUCCUUGUGUCGAAAGAAUAAUUAUGUAUUUCAGUUUUAAAACAGCAAGUUCAUUUACUCUUUAUUGCAUGAUACCGUAAAAUUUUUCUUUGCCUUGCGUUUGCCUUUUGACGUAGAACGCGAAGCUUAAACUCUCUAUUAUUCACAAUGUCUCGAGUGCGAAGCACGAGCGGUAUUAUAAAUAUUUCACCAAACACAAGCGCGAUUUUUCAAUAAUAUUUCGAGAAGAAAACAGUCGGUAAUUUCCUUUACAGCAGUCAGUUUACAUGAUAUGCCACCUCGGGCAAAAACGUUAAUAACCGCGCCCAGAUGUCAAAAACAACUAUUGUUACAUCAACCUUUUGCGUGAGGUGGUUGUGUAGCACGUAAAAUAUCACAUAAAAUGCGAUAUUGCGAAUUAUUGCAUAAAAUGCUCAAAUUUUGCAUAAAUUAAAAAGCACGUUCUUUAUUUAAAAAAGUUGCACAAUUUUUAACCAAUCAGAAUCGAGUAAAAUUGACUGAAAUGGUAUUAAGGCUCAAAACAUUCUCUGACUACGCUCUUAUUUCUACAGCGUUGGUUAUUUCAGAAGUUGUAUCGUUGAAAUAUAUAUAAUCAUUCCGAAGCUUUUGCAUUGAAUGUAAAUCACAUAUUUCGUCGGAAUAAUCAACUAAAUCAAACUGUGAUUACAUUCAUCAAAGAAUUGGUCAAUUUCGACCUUGUCAUGGUCCUUCAUAUCUUUCAUUUUAAUAUUUUCACAGCAAGUCGAAGAAGAUGUUCUUAUUUAACAUUCUUAAAAUUUUGCUUAUUUGAGCUUAAACAUUAG